AAACUACAGGUCAAACAACAGGUUAACUAUAUGUGAAACAACAGGUAAAAACUACAGGUCAAACUACAGGUCAAACUACAGGUCAACUACAGCCGCGUUUCCACCGCAGGAACUUUCCCCAGGAACUAGGAACUUUGGGGUGGUACGCGGUGUGUUUACGGUUGCGGUCUAAAUGAUGUUC